rnacentral:rRNA from 1 species
GGUUAAGCGACUAAGCGUACACGGUGGAUGCCCUGGCAGUCAGAGGCGAUGAAGGGCGUGCUAAUCUGCGAUAAGCGCCGGUAAGGUGAUAUGAACCGUUAUAACCGGCGAUACCCGAAUGGGGAAACCCAGUGUGAUUCGUCACACUAUCAUUAACUGAAUCCAUAGGUUAAUGAGGCGAACCGGGGGAACUGAAACAUCUAAGUACCCCGAGGAAAAGAAAUCAACCGAGAUUCCCCCAGUAGCGGCGAGCGAACGGGGAGGAGCCCAGAGCCUGAAUCAGCAUGUGUGUUAGUGGAAGCGUCUGGAAAGGCGCGCGAUACAGGGUGACAGCCCCGUACACAAAAGCGCAUGUGCUGUGAGCUCGAUGAGUAGGGCGGGACACGUGGUAUCCUGUCUGAAUAUGGGGGGACCAUCCUCCAAGGCUAAAUACUCCUGACUGACCGAUAGUGAACCAGUACCGUGAGGGAAAGGCGAAAAGAACCCCGGCGAGGGGAGUGAAAAAGAACCUGAAACCGUGUACGUACAAGCAGUGGGAGCCCCACCACUAAGCCAGUGGUGAACUCCACAUACGCAUCCUUUGCUGAGGAUACGGUUAACGGAGCGAAAGCGACGUUCAACCUCAAAAGAAGCAGAGGGGGCUUAGUGGUGGGGUGACUGCGUACCUUUUGUAUAAUGGGUCAGCGACUUAUAUUCUGUAGCAAGGUUAACCGAAUAGGGGAGCCGGAGGGAAACCGAGUCUUAACUGGGCGUUAAGUUGCAGGGUAUAGACCCGAAACCCGGUGAUCUAGCCAUGGGCAGGUUGAAGGUUGGGUAACACUAACUGGAGGACCGAACCGACUAAUGUUGAAAAAUUAGCGGAUGACCUGUGGCUGGGGGUGAAAGGCCAAUCAAACCGGGAGAUAGCUGGUUCUCCCCGAAAGCUAUUUAGGUAGCGCCUCGUGAAUUCAUCUCCGGGGGUAGAGCACUGUUUCGGCUAGGGGGCCAUCCCGGCUUACCAACCCGAUGCAAACUGCGAAUACCGGAGAAUGUUAUCACGGGAGACACACGGCGGGUGCUAACGUCCGUCGUGAAGAGGGAAACAACCCAGACCGCCAGCUAAGGUCCCAAAGUCAUGGUUAAGUGGGAAACGAUGUGGGAAGGCCCAGACAGCCAGGAUGUUGGCUUAGAAGCAGCCAUCAUUUAAAGAAAGCGUAAUAGCUCACUGGUCGAGUCGGCCUGCGCGGAAGAUGUAACGGGGCUAAACCAUGCACCGAAGCUGCGGCAGCGAACGUAUCACCCAAGACAACUUUACGGAGUUGACGAUUGACGGAGCGAAGCGACGUCAAAGCGUUCAUUAAAGUCGAGUUGGCUUAGGGAUACGUUCGUUGGGUAGGGGAGCGUUCUGUAAGCCUGUGAAGGUGGCCUGUGAGGGUUGCUGGAGGUAUCAGAAGUGCGAAUGCUGACAUAAGUAACGAUAAAGCGGGUGAAAAGCCCGCUCGCCGGAAGACCAAGGGUUCCUGUCCAACGUUAAUCGGGGCAGGGUGAGUCGACCCCUAAGGCGAGGCCGAAAGGCGUAGUCGAUGGGAAACGGGUUAAUAUUCCCGUACUUGGUGUUACUGCGAAGGGGGGACGGAGAAGGCUAUGUUGGCCGGGCGACGGUUGUCCCGGUUUAAGCGUGUAGGCUGGUUUUCCAGGCAAAUCCGGAAAAUCAAGGCUGAGGCGUGACGACGAGGCACUACGGUGCUGAAGCAACAAAUGCCCUGCUUCCAGGAAAAGCCUCUAAGCAUCAGGUAACAUCAAAUCGUACCCCAAACCGACACAGGUGGUCAGGUAGAGAAUACCAAGGCGCUUGAGAGAACUCGGGUGAAGGAACUAGGCAAAAUGGUGCCGUAACUUCGGGAGAAGGCACGCUGACACGUAGGUGAAGUGAUUUACUCAUGGAGCUGAAGUCAGUCGAAGAUACCAGCUGGCUGCAACUGUUUAUUAAAAACACAGCACUGUGCAAACACGAAAGUGGACGUAUACGGUGUGACGCCUGCCCGGUGCCGGAAGGUUAAUUGAUGGGGUCAGCGCAAGCGAAGCUCCUGAUCGAAGCCCCGGUAAACGGCGGCCGUAACUAUAACGGUCCUAAGGUAGCGAAAUUCCUUGUCGGGUAAGUUCCGACCUGCACGAAUGGCGUAAUGAUGGCCAGGCUGUCUCCACCCGAGACUCAGUGAAAUUGAACUCGCUGUGAAGAUGCAGUGUACCCGCGGCAAGACGGAAAGACCCCGUGAACCUUUACUAUAGCUUGACACUGAACAUUGAGCCUUGAUGUGUAGGAUAGGUGGGAGGCUUUGAAGUGUGGACGCCAGUCUGCAUGGAGCCGACCUUGAAAUACCACCCUUUAAUGUUUGAUGUUCUAACGUGGACCCGUAAUCCGGGUUGCGGACAGUGUCUGGUGGGUAGUUUGACUGGGGCGGUCUCCUCCUAAAGAGUAACGGAGGAGCACGAAGGUUGGCUAAUCCUGGUCGGACAUCAGGAGGUUAGUGCAAUGGCAUAAGCCAGCUUGACUGCGAGCGUGACGGCGCGAGCAGGUGCGAAAGCAGGUCAUAGUGAUCCGGUGGUUCUGAAUGGAAGGGCCAUCGCUCAACGGAUAAAAGGUACUCCGGGGAUAACAGGCUGAUACCGCCCAAGAGUUCAUAUCGACGGCGGUGUUUGGCACCUCGAUGUCGGCUCAUCACAUCCUGGGGCUGAAGUAGGUCCCAAGGGUAUGGCUGUUCGCCAUUUAAAGUGGUACGCGAGCUGGGUUUAGAACGUCGUGAGACAGUUCGGUCCCUAUCUGCCGUGGGCGCUGGAGAACUGAGGGGGGCUGCUCCUAGUACGAGAGGACCGGAGUGGACGCAUCACUGGUGUUCGGGUUGUCAUGCCAAUGGCACUGCCCGGUAGCUAAAUGCGGAAGAGAUAAGUGCUGAAAGCAUCUAAGCACGAAACUUGCCCCGAGAUGAGUUCUCCCUGAGACUUAGAGUCUCCUGAAGGAACGUUGAAGACGACGACGUUGAUAGGCCGGGUGUGUAAGCGCAGCGAUGCGUUGAGCUAACCGGUACUAAUGAACCGUGAGGCUUAACCUU